ensembl:lncRNA
AGGAAGCAGAGGAAUGGAAAAAGAAUUUUCAAAUUUUUAAAUUGGUUCAAGAAGGAAGAGAGAUUACCCCCAUUUAGGCAAGAUUAAAGGUAAAAAUGACACAAAUGACAACUGUACCAAUUGAUGGGCCUGAGUGCCCUUACUCAAUCCUCCUUUAACUAUGUCUCUAUUGCCUGAAAAUGACACUGAAGCAUGUGCCAUGGCAGAAAAGAGGAAUUGUUUAUCAAUUCUUCCCAGGCGUUUUGAUAUUUCCUAUACAAUUUUAGCAAAUUAAAAUGUUUAUUAGGGAUUAGAUAUGGAUAUAAUGAAAGAUUUUUAAAAGAUUUUUUUUUGCUUCCUAUGAUCUAGCAUUCUCAUAACUCUCUGUUUGGAGCAAUGACACACAGUGGCUGCCAUAUGAUUCUUGUACAACAUUUUGUUCAAAUGGUUGUCAGCCCUUCCCAAUCUCUUCGAUGCUAAAUGUGGCUUGCAAACAAAGCUCAUGAAAAAAAAAUGGACAACUAGGACUAAGGGGGGCAUAUCCAAGGCUGCCUGGAUAAAACUGAUACAGCAUCUGAUACUGGAGUCCAGCUCUACUGAGUUCAGAUCUUGAGGAGGGGUACAGUUGAAGAAGGAAGAAUGGAGACACUCACAGGGAUGUGCUGAUCACACUGUCUUCUCUCAGAGAGGACAUAUUUUAUUUAUAUUUUCAGCACUGAAACAAAUAGGUACAGGAAAGCAUGUGUUGCAUGGGUUUUACAUAACCAAUUUCCAAGAACUUUCAAGAUCACAUUACAAUGUUCUUAAAACUUUCUACCCACAUUCUCCUAACAUGUCCUGCCAACCUGACACUAGUUCUACUUCUAUAAAAAUUAAACAAGG